AAAAGAAAUAAAGAAAUGAAAUAAAGAAAAAGGAAAGAAAGAAGGCCACGGUUAGCAGGGAAAGAAAGAAGGAAAGAGAAAAGAAAAAGGAAAAGGGAAAACUAGGGAUUUGGAGUUUGAAGUGUAAAUUGCUAACGUAGCGCCGGAAAUGUCAUCGAAGAAGGGGAAAGUGAAAGUGGACGAGGAUAUCGAGUAAACUCGAGAAUUACGGUUAAGUUAAAGUUAGAUAGCUGAAUCAGCAUCCCAGGCUGAUCCCGAACUCAAUAAGGUAAAGUAUGUUAAUUGUUGAUAAUGGCAUGUACCUAGGAUGUCUUAAGUGUGUCAUAUUGGAUUGUGAUUGUAAUAGUGAAAUAAGUAAAUUGAUAAUUGAUAAUAAUACGUGAUAAGUGUUUAAAGUUAAGUAUUGGAUAGUAUAUAAAAUGUGAUUGGAAUGGUUUAGUAUUUGUAUUGGUAAA